ACGGGAGGCAGCAGUGGGGAAUAUUGGACAAUGGGCGCAAGCCUGAUCCAGCAACGCCGCGUGGAGGAUGAAGGUCUUCGGAUCGUAAACUCCUGUCAGGUGGGACGAAGGUAGGGGGGUAAAUAAUCCUCCUGCUUGACGGUACCACCAGAGGAAGCCCCGGCUAACUCCGUGCCAGCAGCCGCGGUAAUACGGAGGGGGCGAGCGUUAUUCGGAAUUAUUGGGCGUAAAGGGCGCGUAGGCGGCUUGACAAGUCAAAGGUGAAAUCCCUCGGCUCAACUGAGGAACUGCCUUUGAAACUGUCUGGCUUGAGGCCGGGAGGGGGUAGCGGAAUUCCCAGUGUAGCGGUGAAAUGCGUAGAUAUUGGGAGGAACACCAGUGGCGAAGGCGGCUACCUGGACCGGUUCUGACGCUGAUGCGCGAAAGCGUGGGUAGCAAACAGGAUUAGAUACCCUGGUA
rnacentral:rRNA from 1 species